UACCGUCCCUUUCUCACUCACGCCUCUCAAAUCAUUUCUCACUUAUGCUUCUGCCCACUUCUUUGUGGCUUUGUCUCCAUCGCCAUCAUUGCAAGGGUUGCUAGAGCAUCACCGCAAGGGUACCCCCGGUUGCUGGAGCAUCAUCGGUUUGUCUCUCAAGUCCACUGUCCGAAGUAAAUUAUUCAAGGAUGUUUGUUGACCAAGGUUGCAGAAUGAGAUAAGUUUAUAUUUUUGUAGGUCCACUAUCCAAAGUAAAUUAGCUAACUGAUGGAUGUAUGCAACCUAUUUGAUAAAAUUCCUACAAGAAAAUAUAUUAUCUACUCGUAUUUUUGCUGAAGAGCCUCAAUUUAAAAAUGAGGUAUCCACCUACUAGACUUGGCAUUUUCUCAUGCCCAAUUAUGUUGAUUUACACCCAAAAGUCUUCACAAAGCUGCAAACCCAAUUAUAGAUUGGUUUUGUUGUGUUGAAUUGAAACAACAAUGGAGGGACUAUCUCCAGAUCUGAAAUGUGUAAUCUAAGAGACCCUGAGAGAGAGAGAGAGAGAGAGAGAGAGGAUGCUCCCUUAACCUUAAAAGGCUGCUCAUUUCUUGAUGUGUUUUAUUUUUUUAUUUAUUUUUGUGGACAAAACAAUAAGGAAACAGAUGCCCCUAGCAUUAAAGUUAGGAAAACAAUGUGGUACUAUAACACAUUCGUGCCUAUAACAACUCCUUUACUUUCAAAAUUCACACAUUCAUGCCUACAAUAGCUCUUUUGCUUUCACUUCAUCCGAUGUUACUACCGAUAAAAAUUUACAGUGAAGGAAUAGGGGAAUCUACACCUUUUUUGUUCAAGGUUAAGCCUAUCUUUUUUAUCAUUCAACCUUAUCCUUAGGAAUAAACUAUCCUACUUGCAACUUUACUUUUUGGACAUUGAAUAUGGGGUUUAGAAAAAAUUAUGAGUUUUAGUUAACUUAGAUCCACACAUCAUUACCCAUGUGAUUGCUAUUAUGGCUUCAACCCCAUAUUUGGUGUCCUUUAGAAGUUUGAGAACAGUUGCUGACUUGGACACUCAUCAUAUUUUUGUUCGCACUGAUCCAUCUGUAGCUCCCCGUGCUUAUAAUGCUCCUAAUACUUUUCAAGUUGCUGCAAUGGCAUGAGGAUAAUGAGGCUAUGGAGUAUAGAGAGCGUGAUAUUAUUGUACAGAAACAUCAUGGUCAUUCUAAGAGAUUUGGCCUUUGAAUUACAUUUUCAAAAGCAAACAAGAAAAAAGGGAGGUAGCCAUCAUGUUGUUAAAGUUGGAGAUUAUGAUCUUGCUCAGUGCUAAUUGGAAAUGAGAAGAGGCUUGUUGACAUACAUUUGCAUAUUGUCAUUGGUGAUGCUAUAGUUGCAUUAAACACAUCAUUCUGAUUGGAAUUGACUAGAUUUUAUUUAUUUUGCGCUUGGUUUAACUUUAGGUGUUGUUGUACAUAAAAUUAAAUUUUGGAUUGUAAGAACAUGUGGGCUAUUGUUGUUAUCAUAAAUAGAAUUUAUUUAUAUA